rnacentral:rRNA from 1 species
UCCAGCUCCGAUAGCGUAUAUUAAAGUUGCUGCGGUUAAAAAGCUCGUAGUUGGAUUUGGGUUUUCGGGCCGGCGGGCCGCCGCCUUCGAGCGGCGCGUCUCCCGCCGCGCCCCCGGAACCGCACGGUCGCAGAGGCCCCCGCGGUGCUCUUCAAUGAGUGUCCGCCGGUUCGGGUCGCCGAACGUUUACUUUGAAAAAAUUAGAGUGCUCCAGGCAGGCCGGUAAAGCGUUGUUUAUAAAAAAGACCCGCGCCUGAAUAGUCACGCAUGGAAUAAUGAAAGAGGACCGGUGGUCCUAUUUUGUUGGUUUUCGGGAUUUUCCGCCGUCAUGAUUAAGAGGGACGGCCGGGGGCAUUCGUACCGCGGCGCGAGAGGUGAAAUUCUAGGACCGCCGCGAGACGAACCGUUGCGAAAGCAUUUGCCAAGAAUGUUUUCCUUAAUCAAGAACGAAAGUCAGAGGUUCGAAGGCGAUCAGAUACCGCCCUAGUUCUGACCGUAAACGAUGCCACCUGACGAUCCGCCAGGGUUACUACCAUGACUCGGCGGGCAGCCCCCGGGAAACCCAAGCCUUCGGGUUCCGGGGGAAGUAUGGUUGCAAAGCUGAAACUUAAAGGAAUUGACGGAAGGGCACCACCAGGAGUGGAGCCUGCGGCUUAAUUUGACUCAACACGGGGAACCUCACCCGGCCCGGACACCGCGAGGAUUGACAGAUUGAGAGCUCUUUCUCGAUUCGGUGGGUGGUGGUGCAUGGCCGNUCUUAGUUGGUGGAGCGAUUUG